UUAUUCCAGUUUCUACAGAGUGAACUCUGGUAACUGCUCACGUGGCUGCAUUAUGUCCCUGUCUUUUUUUCCCAAUAAUUCCUAUCUGACACAUCACUUGCCAUCCUUUUCCCUCAAUUUCCUCAGAAGAAUAAAUAAUACUGCUUUAACAUUUGAGACACAAUACUGCUGGUGGGGAAGUGAGAGAGAGCCCCGGAGAAGUUUGCUCAAGUUAUUGCAGCGCUUGUACCUGCAAGGUCCAGCAGUUUUAGUGAGACUCCAACUACGAACAGCCGCAGAUAAGAAAUGUUUCAACAGUUUGAAGUCUCUCUACAGACUGGAGUUAACAUUGCCAUGAAAACUAGAAACUCAGUUUCUAGGUUACUUCUUCCAGAUAAAAGCCUAUCAGGUACGGGAUGCGGGGCUGGAGUAGCCUUCCAGGGCAGGCUUGAUGUGGAGCUGGAGAGGACAGCAAGGAAGGAAAGGCAUAGGAAUAUAGCAUAUGUCCCAGGCACGCUCCAUAACAUAAGUCUUCUUAAAUGAAUUUGGCUAGCAGUGAUGGGACAAUACUAUGUGAAUCAAAGUCAGUGAUGCACUGGUGUGGGGUUGUUGCAGCAGGGGGAUCAGUGGCUGAACUAUUGGCCAGCCUGUGGGCUUGGGCAUGAUUUUCACUGCUCACGUGGCCCUGAGAGCCAAUGGCUUCAAGAGCCGCCGUUGGAGGGUGUCGUACUGAGUGGGCAUAUAUCAAAUUCCAAAUUCCUUUGUGUGAGAGCUCAGGAGAGACAAUAAUGUGUUUACAAAUGAUUGGGACUCACACAGGGGAGAGAAACCACUGCUCAUGCCAUAUGUGUUUCAGAACGAGCUGCUGAAUACCAGCGUGCAGAAGUCUGCAUUACAAAUUGGAUCAGCUACAGCAACUUGUCCAAUUCUAUUGAAGUCAUCUGACAGUCCCUGCAACUCUUUAUUGCCGAAGAUGCUGUGUUAAAUUAGAAAACAAAAAUGCCCUAAAAGUUAAAGCUGUUUCAUCUGAUUUUAUAACUUCCACUAUAAUUUUUAAAAGAAAGGGCAGCUUCUCAAGUAGUUUGCAGCUCACUUUUCUGUCCUUAGAAAAUCCCCAAAUGCCUUGAGCCCUUUUUCUUUCACCAUCAGCACUGCGAUCCAGUACUUUAGUGCAAGUACUUUGGUUUCAGAAGCAGUCAGGAGCACCCCUUUGCAGCCUGACUUUCUGCUUGAGAUUGGUUAAAGAGCUUCUUCCCUGUGUGUCUGCCUGUGCCUAGCAAGUGUAAUGUGUAGGCAAGACUAAAUCAGAAAAACCAAAUUCCUUCAGAGUGCCCCCCACCCCCCCCACCUCAUCCCAUUCGUCCUUCUCCCUUCCCCCAGGUCUCAUCUCACAACCUCGCAGAAAGCAGUACUGCUGCAGAGAAGAAAAGAAGUUAAUUGCAGUUCUGGCAAACAGGCUAUUUUACAGCUUUGUUUUUAAGCACUCACCUGAUUCUGCAAAAGUGAUGAUUUCUGAGGUUUGCUCCACAACUUCAUUCAUUUCUGCUCUUCUUCCAACAUCAUCCUCUAUUUCCACAUAGCCAUCGUCUCCCACCUUUCCCACAUGGAGUUUCUUGAUGGCAUUUAAAAGUGCUGCCUUGGGCACAGGCUGGGUGAUGUUAGGUCUGUCCCUCAAGUGCAACAUGUUCAGUAUGUGCUUCUUUACUGCUUCCACCAUCUCAGGCUGUGAGCUGGGCACAUCCUUCGAGAGCGUGGUGAGGGCACAUGAUGGACAGUCAGUGACUGAACUGUGCCCCUCGGAUCCUGGGGUUGGGGAACUCCUCACUAUAAUCCAGCAAAUCACCAACAGAAAUCCUCUCUUCCAAAGCAAAGGCAUCCUGGCAGCAAAAGUUGUUGUGAUUCCCUUUUUAAAAGGCCCUGCUUUUCCUCCCCCUUCACGCACAGUUUUUUUGGGGGCUGGUUUGUGUUGUUUGUUUGUUUGUUUGUUUUUCUUUCUCUUCAGCAAAUUCUCUGGAACAAGAACCAAAAGUUUUCUGUGAAGUUUUGUUUGCAGGUUCCCUCUCUGAAUGCAAUAAGUGCUGUAGAUGUUAGUGGCUGUCAGGGAGAAGAGUUCUGACUCUGUCUCAGAGUAGGAGAGAGACACAGAGAGAGGGAGAGAGAGGGAGAGGACGGAUUGGCCUAAAGUGAGUGAGUGAAUGGGAGAGGGAGGGAGUUUUGUCUGUGAGUAAAGGCUAUGAUUAGGAAGGGGGAGGAACAGGCAGGCUGGCUUCCUUAUGCUCAUUGCUCCCCUAACACACACCUCUCUUCAAAUAUCACUACUCAGGCUUUCUGCCCUCCUCUCUAAAAUCUCUCUCCAUUCCUGUAAAUUUACUCUUCCUUUUUCCCAGUUUGACCCUUCUGGCUCCCUCCUGGCUGUCACAUUCCCCCUCCUUUUUUCUCUUUUUUUUUUUUUUCUUUUUUUUUCUUUUUUUUUUUUCCCCAUUUGUUUUAUUCCUACAACAGUAUCACUGGCUUAACUAAACAGAGGAAACAUGAAUGAAUGAAGAGUGAAACCUUUUAUUAAUGAGCACCUUGCUCUUGUCCUGCCUGGUAUUGUUAGGGUUAGCAGGAGAUCUUAAAUAGCUUGUGAACAAGAUGGGGAUGACGGCAGGGGCUGAAAGUAUUUUGGGCAGAAUGCUAUUCUGCCUUGAGUGGAAGAGAAAAAGAUCUUUUCUGCUCAUUUGUAAAUGCUGGAGGUUAUCAACACUGGCAGGAGAUCUGACAGAAGCAAAAUAAUCCUGUUGUUUGGAGGGCUCUAUUAUACUUGAUACGCUCUCCAGCUGCAGAAUGCAAGCCAGGCACUGAGAGCACGAGCAGGAGGAGCUGGUAGGGCACAGGUCUGUGACAUGCAAAGGUACUGCUCGGGAACCAGAAACAUCCCUGCUGCUAUGCUAGCCUGUGCCUAGAAGUUCCUAUUUAGGUUUGGGAUUAAUCAAGUAAUGUCUGAAAAAUGCUUUGAAGACGGAACAUAUUACAUGUCAUCUGGCCAAAUCGUACUUGCUCCUGACUCAAGCAAAUCCCUCAUCAGUGCCAAUAAUAAUUCUGUCUGAGUGAAGACUGACUAAGAUCUUCUACAUUUGGCCCAUUGUUAUUCAAAGGAACUUUUUGUUUCAUUCAUUUAAACCACAGAAUCAUAAUAUUAGAAUAAGACAUAAUGAGUGAAAAGCAAUCUUAAAGCACUGCUAGGAGCCAGAGUUCCAGUCCCUGUCAGCAGAACCUUAGCAGCUCAUUCCGAUGAGGCUUCUGCCCUGCAAUGGGAAGUUUCUCUUAGGGCUUCGUAUUGCCUCUAACCUCAGCAGCAUCUCCGUGCUGCACCUUACUUAGCGAGGGUGAAGCGAACAAACUCCCUCACAUUUGGACUUUGUAACAGAGAAAACUACAGCUGAUGGAGUUGAGCUUCUGAGGUUCUUUCACACUGGACUUAAACUUCUACUGAUUUUCUCAGAGCUUCUGCUUCUUUGGCAUUUACCUUCUUUCGUUCUCUCUCUCUCUCACACGCACCUCUGUCUUCUUAGGUGUGCUUACCUCCCUCCAAGCAAACAUUUCACUUUCAGUACAUUACCAUCAACCACUGUAUUUGAGUGGGAAAGAGUAAUUUAUAAAGAUGAGCACUGUGAGGUCUGUCGUUUCCGUGAGAUAGCUCCCGGCACGCGGGCAGAGAGACAGGCAAGGGAUUGGAGUUGGAGUGAGUGAAGCAUACAGAAGUAAUUGAAAAAUCAACCAAGUUUUACAAAUGUUAUAUACUGCAAGUCCUUUUCAAUUAAGGUAUUUUAUAAGUCUUUCACUGUUAGAAGGCAUUCACAGUACACCCUCAUCUGCGUUUUACUGACCUCAGUUGCUAUACUGUUAUAUACUGUUACACUUACAGGUCUGUCAGCAUUAUAAACCCUGCAGCCAUUCUUAUAAACACAUCUUUGUAACACAAACCUCGCUAUAAUACAUCUAAAUUUCUUGGAUCUUGUGAACAGCCCAAAGUCUGUUGUAAUUAUAUGAAGUCUGAAAGUCAGCUUGAAAUAGAACUAAAAGUUUAAUUGGACCAAAGGAAAAAAAAAAAAAAAGAAAAAAAAUUCAGAUGAAAAUACGCAUUCAUGAUUAGAUGUACUAACAGAUGACAUAAUUAAAGGAGUUAUUUAUAGUUCUAAUACAGAAUCUAUCCCAUAAGUGUCUGAUGAGAAGUAAGGGAUAGGCAUAUUUCAGUUUAAAAGACAGACAGUGCACUUGAGUUGUUGCUGUGCGGCGUGCGCUGCUUGCCAAUGUAACAGGUACACCUCUCACAGCCUGUUACACGUAGGGAUAGCGUAGCAUGCCUGCAUGCCAUGCUGAUGACAGAUUUAAUGCUAAAGCAUAACUUUCUAAAAGCAUUGUUUUCUGAAAGCGAUUUUGCUGGUACCACUGAUAGAGAGUUCAUUCAUCCUUCCAGAUAUGCAUGCACACACACAUCUAUGUUCACGUCUGAAAAUACAAGGUUUGAAUAAAUAGAGAAAUGCUGGUUCAGAUUCUUUCCAUAAAAUUACCUGAGUUGCAAAGCUCUGCAUAUACAUUCAUUCAGCAUCGCCCUAGCAAUAUGCAACAGCAUGCACAUGAAUUGAAAGUUUUAGUUUUAAAAGAAAAAAAAAAAAAAAAAGCUGGUUUAAAGUUUUACCUCUCUAGUCCUCACUCUGAGAAGGAGACUGCUGUAUUGUGCAUUAAGAACUGCUGAAGUUCCUCUUUGUGGUACUUAUAAUGCGAAGCUUUAUACUGUACUUCUCGUGUGUACACUCACAUAUAGUGUCUGUCAAGAGUAAGUGGGCCGGAUCAGUGUGCUGGAUUGGUUAAUCCUGUUACAUCAGCAAUUGACUGUUUUUCCUGUAUGAGACAUACUUCUGGUAAUUAUCUAAUGGAAACUCCUAAUUGUCUAGCAUGACAAAAUAUCGUGGAUUCAACUUGUAGUGGUGAUCUGCGUAUCCAUUUAAAGAAUAGAACUUAAAAUCAGACUGAAUGCAAACACUAUGAGUCAGGAAGACACUCUCCAACUUGUUUUAUUGCAUAGCUAGAUAUAGAUAUUAUUAGAUGUAGAUAACACUGAUUUAGUUCAAAUGCAGUGUUUGCCAGAUAUUUAAUUACUAGUUAGCAAAUUGUUUGAGUCUGCUAUCGUGCUAAGGAUAUACAAGAUAAUCUAUCUGCAAAUUUGGAUUAUUUUCAAAUUCAGGAAAAUGCAUCUGGUUAAGAAUCCUUUUGCAGAGGAUACAAUUUUUAGUUCACUCUUUGUACAAAUAUGUCCUUCUGUUAACUUAGGCAUACUUUUAAAGUUCUUCAAAAAUGAAUCAUAUUGCUCAUGUCCAAGUCUCAUGGCUUCUUGACGUGCAGAUUACAUCACUAUUAAAAACUAUUUAGACAUCUAAAAAUAAGCUGCAAUGAAUUACAGGUGAAAUAAAAUCAACUUCAACUUCCAUUUCAGUUUACAUUAGCGAAACUCAAAAAUUACCGUAUGCCAAUUAGGCAGUACAAAAUUAAUAGAGAUACAUAAGGUCACAAGUAAAUUGAAAAUCAAUCUCCUUUCUUAAACACACAUAAUAACUGGUUUUAUGUGGUACCGUUUAUGACAAAUGGCAUGAUCAUGCAGUCUUUACUCAUUCAAAACACCCACUGAUUACCAGAAAAUCCCCAUCCUUCAGAUUUUUUUUUUCUUGGCCUGAAUCGUACUUACAAUUGUAUUUUUAUGUCCUGUCGGUAAUGCACAUUUAAUCUGUCUCAGAAUAUGACUGCUGUGGACCAGGCAAGAAAGAUUUCAAAUUUUCUUCUCCCUGAUACCAGGGAGUACUCAGAGCAGCACUGAUUCCAACCAAACUAUGUGCUCUAUUCACACAACAGCUUUAGUAGAAUGAGCAAAAAAUCGGGAGUUAAUGGGAAACAUAUGACCAGAUAGGUUGUUUUGUUUCCCAGUUUUUACAUGCAUAUAAUAAGUUUUCAGGCUGUAACGUGCCGUGGAUUGAAGCCCCUUGAAACAGGUUUCCUUCGUUUUUUUUCUGCGGUCUGACACUGAGGGUUCCAGUUGUUGCAAAGAACAUUUUAUUUUUAUUUUUCCUCCUUGAAGGACAGCGAGAGAGACACGCUUGAAGAAACAAAUGGUGAGCAUGCACGUACCUACUUCUGUGCAGGACAGUCACUUUUGUGGGGAUCCUAAACCCAAGCUUUGACAGAGGACUCAGAACUGUGUUUUUCUCAGGACCAAACUGAAUUUGGUUCUAACCGGCGUCCUCAACCCCUCUGAAAUUAGUUACAUACUGGUGGCACAGUGACUGCUGUCAUUUGGCAGCAGACAGGCGCUCAGCAAGAGAUCUUGUACUGCCUUGGUUUUAUAGAGAGUGGAAAAUCUGCCCCACAAGUACCAGAGCUCUGUACCCAAGCAUCAGGCUGGGGGCUGCUGAGGGCUGGGGUCCGGGGAGGGUGUGUGGUCUGUGGCAGAACCGGAGGGCUACAAGCAGAGCACAGCAACCGUGUGCGUGAUUUAUAGCCAGGAUAAUUUCUGAAAGGAGAUUAGGAGAAGUGAAAAGCAUUAUUCAUUUCAGAGCAUGCUCCUUGUUGCCUCGGGGAAUUCGUGUAUAGCUUUACCAAAGGCCUAAUGAAAGCUUUACUCAGUGACUAAUUUUUUUUUCACACCUAUUUCUCUCUUUAUAAAUAUUUUUCUCCCCACCCCUCCACUUCUUCUCAUUUUGUUGAACACAGCAACACCUGCUGGCAGCGGUCCGGGAGUACUGCUGGAAAGGCCCACUGAUCUGGCUCUUCAGACCAGCUGCCAUUAAGCACUGCCAAGCCAUAUUAAUGAGCUGCCUCUAUUUUUACCCCUUCCUGCCAGAAAGGGCAAUUGCUCUUGGGAAAGACUUUAGCUGUUUUGUUGGUUUUGUUUUUUUUUUUUUCUUUUCUUUCGUUCUUUCUUGCUUUCUUUUUUUUUUUUUUUCCUUUUUUCUGCCUUUAUUUUUUUUCUAGCAGAUUCAGAAUCCAAAUAAUCACUGUUCAUUUCGUGAAGUUGGGAUUUCUAAUGUCAGUUCUGAUGCCGCCAGUUGAGACCACAUACAACAUCAGAGUGACACCAAGCCUAUCGAGCUGGCUUGUAGGCACGCUUCUGUUCCUUGCUGAAUCAGAAAUAACGAAAGGAGUGGGACAGAGAGAAAGGUUAGCGUAGCAGCAACCUGCUUCUUAUUUCCUAAUUGUGGAUUUUAUCCUACAAACCAUUAAAAAGGAUGGCCCGGUGCCACUUCAUUAUUCACCUAGUGGAGGUUGUGUGAUUUACUGGCUAUUUUGGAAUUCCAAAUUGCACACAAUAGCAUUUGUGUGCCUCCAUUCCUGCUUUGAAGAGCAGUCACUAGAAAACACUUUGGCACAGAUUUCUGUGCAAAUCAGCUGGAAUUUCACUCUGGUGUACCUUAUUUUACUGUAAUAGCAACAAAAGAUGUGCCAGAAACUUAUAUUUAGAAGUUUUAUGUUUCCGCUUUUAUGUAUAAGGACCAAUUAAGCCUUGUCUUUUUGCUGCAAACUCUAAUACUUCUGUGCUGUUUGGAGGGGCCAGUGUUUUCAGUCAUAAUUAGUGAGCCGGUCAAAAAAUAAAGUUCAGUUGAGGAUAAGAACUCAAUCUAGAGGGUGGGGUAAAUAAUAGCUUUCAACUUCUUGCCUUUUUUUUUAUACUAAUGGAUGACACUUUUCUCAGGGGGGCAGAAUAAGUAAAAAUGUUCUGAUUGAAGUGAUUCUUGUAUAAAGUCAGUCUGGCUGACAAAAGCAAGUAUGUUUUCUUUCUGUCUGAACUAUACCUACAUCUUCUGCUAUGCAAUUCACUCAUCUUCCUUUCCAAUCCCUGAACAGUGAGUUAUUUCUUUAAAAGGGAUACUUUAUGUCUGUGCUAUUUUAGCAUAUGUGUGGCCAUUUCACACUUAAAAACAAAAAGCAGGAAACAGGAAUACACAAGCCAGAUGAUGGUACUGGUAUGAGAUGAUACGACACAAAUUGUGUCUUCUGUGACCAGUGCUUGUUUAAAGCAUUUCCCAUGGGGUAAAAUCUAUGUACAAAGAGAAUUUUCUCCAAUCUGCAGAGAGAAUGGUGUUAAACCACAACUACAUGAAAUGAAGUGGUUCAUAAAACCUAGUGUCCUGCCUUGGUGGCUUGAUAGGCAGAUUUUUGUCACAUUACUGGGGUAGUCUUUUUUUCCUUGAGAAGCAGCUCUGUGUCUUGAGUGAUACUGUCUUCAAAGACAUUUCCAGAAGAUGUGACUGGAGUCACGUCAGUGAUUUAAAUCACACAGGGAGGAAGCCCCAGAUGACCGAUCCUGUUUGGUAUCAAGGUGGGUGAAAAAUCUAUGGCUAAAGUUGAAGCAGCAUUUAACAUUUAUAGGUAAGUUAAAGCUAAUAAUGAAAAUUAGAUUGCACUGAAUUAAGUUGCACAAUGAAUCAUCGCAGCCAUUCCUAAUAACAAUUGUUCUUAGACCAGUGGAGUUUUGUCAAGAAUAAUGGAUGUCUAUUUCUCUUACAAGUUCUGAAUUCUCUGUUCUGUAUUCUUUUUACUGCAGCUAAUCACAGCGUAUUGAAUGCAAACUCUUAUCUUUCAGCUUUUAGAGCCAGUUCUCAGUGCCACUGAAGUUAACACUGUCUGUGGGACCAGAAGUCAGCUGAAUUGAACUUUGACUUUGAAGAUUAAUAUUAACCAUUGAGAGAUGGAAAGAGAGACUAGAAAUCAAGGCUUAGGCAAAAGCUGUUCAGCUGAUGUGCUUCUUAAAGUAAUAUUGCCUAUGAGUGGGAGAGAACUGAAUGAAGCUCGUGAGCUGGCCAUUUGCUUUGAGUUGAACUCAACAAGAGAUUACUCUGACAAAUCUUCCAAAGUAGUCAUCGUGCACAGGCCAUUGGGAAAAGUUGUAGCAACCCACACUGAUGGAUAUUCCCUCUUUGUGAGAGUGACAGGUAGAGAACUGGCAUAAGUGAAACACUGAGGACACCGACAUGUGCCUUGAAGAGGACAUGCUGAUCUUGUGCAUCGCUGCAGCUUUUCCCACUGUGAAUCCCCAGUAGAACAAAUCACCACGGAAAAGUCAACAUAUCCAGAAGUGAAGAUGGUAAGGAGAAGCCUGACUGCUUACAGCUUUUCCGAGCAGAGUAUUAGAUGGGGUCCUGGGAAGUCUGGAUUCUCUAGCUCAACUCUUGAUUGCUGGGCCCUUAGGACAAGUCCAUAACUUCCCCAUCUGCAAAAUGGAAACAAAAUCAUGGGGAGUACUGAGAUCAGUGGAUCAGGAAUAGCAAAAAAAAAAAAAACCAUCAUUGCAGUUGCUUGGUUUUUCAAAGUGUUUUGGGAUCUGAAGGAAGGAAACUGUAGAUGGAAGCAGGGUGUGGAUAAGCGCACAAGCUCAGCUGAUGUCAAAUGAAGUGCAGUCAGUGCUCCCAGUGUGUUUUUGCACUUCCUUGGUACCUUUGGAAGUAUCCACCAGUGCUUCUUCCUCAGGCAGCAGUGACCUUAUAAGGGAGGCAGUUUCAAGCCCUGUGAGCCUGCCUUGGCUCUCACAGAGCAAGAAACCACAGAUACCUGUCUAUUUAUCGAGAAUCUCAAUUUGCCAUUAACCAGCAAAUUCAGAAGCUCCCUAACUUGAAAUGUUGUUCAGCUAAAGCACAUAAUAUGCUUUAGCAAUAUGCAGUGAACAAUGCUGUGCUGUAUCCUUACUACCAGCACCAGAUUUAAUUUUGGUCAUUUAAGAUCACUUUCAGACUCGCGUCCAGCACAGGCAUCUAACCUCUGAGGGAUGGGGUUCAGUGAUUAUUUUCAUUAGAAAUUAGGAAGUUUCUGAGAGUGUUUCACAUAUGCCAAGUGAGAGAAGUGAAAUAAACACACAUUGCUUGCUAAUGUAAUUAAGUUGCCCCCCUUCCCUAUAAGCACACAUACCUUUUACAAGUCAGAAUUUCCACAUUAAGAUGAAAAUCUAAGUUCUGAGAACUUAUUUCAGAAUUUUCCCCAUAUCUAGAAGUAAUAACACUUGAGAUUUGCCUUGGUAGCACUGAGGCUGAUCCUUUGGAGUGGAUGUAGUGUCCCCAGAUCUGGACUGAAUUCCCUAAUCCACUUGCACUAACUUUUCUCAUGUGUUUUCAUGUUUUGUAGUUGAAGCACCAUGCUUGUGUUUGAGUGCAUGUGGGAGGGACAGCAUCUAAUUCAGUACCUGCUUGCCCAGCGUCCUUAUCUACAGACUUCAGUGUGCACACAAAACAUGGGGCAAGCGUGUUUAUCAGAGCACACAGAAUUGUACCUGCCAAGCUCAGAGAUCUCUUACAGGUGCUUUUAAAAUGGGCUUUAAGAUCAUCCUGUAAUCACUGGGAGAACAGCGGGCUGAUAUGCAGCAGUGAUGGCCAGUUGCCUAGAAUAUCAGUUCUUCUUCAAUAACUUUCGUAUGCCAACGAUGAACUUAUAAACAGUUAUUUUCUUUAUUCAUUGUCUGCUUAUUGGUGUCAUGCCCUCGUGAUGACUCCUGCUAAAAGGGGUGACAUAAGGUAGCUCAGAAUAAAGUUUUUGUGUGCAAACAGGGCUCAUCUGUGUAUCCAUGCACACAUUUUUUAAUUGCUCCUUUGAAGCCGUCCAUUCAGAGGCAGUAACCAAGCAUCUAGGAAGUAUAAAAACAACAAAGAAGUGUUCAGAUAUUUCUCAUGAAGCAGAUUUUGUAGUUAGUUCUCAUUCUUUUUUCUUCCCGCUUAAACUGAAUUUAGCUCCUCUGAUCAGAGCCAAAUUGACAGCUUUGAAUACUAAAGUAAUCUGCUUGCUCACGGGAGAAUUACAGCAGGGAGAGCCACAGGACAGCUUUCCUCACCCACUCGCAGAGGCUGGUUCAUCCCCACGGUCCAGCAAGCUAACACGACACUCAGCAGAGCUGCCUGAUGCUGUGACUUGUUCUGAGUGGGGACUGAUCUGAGAAAAAGGAAUCCUUUCAUACCAGUCAGCACAUAGUCUGGAAGUGACGCUCAGGGUAGUAUUGCUGAGAGGUGUCUGCACCUUAGUUCUCCAAAAUUAUCGAUGCAAUGACCAGUGGAAGUCCGAAAAGCCAACAGAAUGUGUGCUUUUGUCAGGAGGGGUGUGGAGAGUAAGACAGAAGGCACUAUUUUGAAUUGGCACAUACAGCCUGGGUGCCCUGGGUGCACCUCUGACAUGGAUGUUGUGUGCAGUUCUGCUUUCCCCAUCUCAAGAAGAACAUAGUGGAGUCAGAGAAGAGGCAUUAAAAUGGUAAUGGUAGUGGAGCAGCUGCCUAAUGAAAAAAAGUAAAAGGCAGAAACUCUUCAGUUUGGAGAGAAGGCUGAGGAAGGCACGCUUGGGAUUUAGAAAGUCAUGAAGAUGGCAGAUAAGGUGAAUGUAGAACUGUUAUCCACCAAACCCUGCAGUGCUAGAACCAGGGGGAACUCGUUGAAACUAGUAGGAAAAGAUUUAAAACAGAUACAGUGCUUACACAAUGGAGACUGAACUUCUGGGAUUUGUUGCCACAGGAGGCUGUGGGGCAGACAGUAUCAGCAGACUCAAAAAGGUCCAUAAAUAACUACCAGAGGGAAUAGGCAGGGACAUAUCCUUUAACAUCCUUAAUACAACAAUUGCAGAUGCUGGGGAGUUUGAAGAGAAAGACCCACAGAAAGUGGCCAGACUCACAUUCUCUCUGCUCAGAGCAUUUGUUGUUGGCUUGAGAAAAGAUGGACUACUGGCAGGACCAUGCAAGAAGCUUCCUCAUGUGGGACUGAGGCUCCUGUCUCCAUGCCACAGAGAAGAGAAUAAUGCUCCUGAAGGUGAUUCAGAGCAGAACCUACCUUUUCCUGCCCUGAAUCAUCUGUUAGAAAACCCUAUCUCUCACCAUCAAUUUCACAGGAAAUCUACCCUAGACAAAAGUUAGUCCCGUGAAUAACCAUCUUAGUCACAACUGACACAGGUUGGAUUUGAACUGCUAAUCUGGAACUGAAAAAAGUGUCAUAUACCAAACACCAGUUGUUCCACACACCCCCACCUCUGGUCAGUUCGUUGAGGGUUUUUAAGAGGAAAAAAAGUAUUAGAGUUCAGUACUAUUAGAAAGAUUAUUGGCUGACUAUGAUCACAUCCAAUUGGAAGCAUUUCCUCAGCCAGUGAUGCUGAAACAGUACGUCAAACUCUGGUUAAGAUGAAAAGUUAAAAAAACAUCUUUUGUAUAUGUUAGACUGCUUUCUCAUAGUCUCAAAGCUGAAUCACUGGGAAAGACUGCUUCUGCUGUCUAGCUGUGAAGCUGUUCUGAAUUGCCCAGGUAUGGCUGGAUGUCUCAAUGUUUGUGGGAAGCCUGCUGCAUGUCACCAUCUGGAAACAGAAACAGCAGGAGAGGCUGGAAUUGCAGUAGGACAUCUGAAUCAGAAAAGGGAGGUGAAAGUCAGGAGGUGAGUGUUCCACACAAAGCUACCUCAGUAGCUUCCUUUGACCACUCCAUCUCAUAGAAAUGAAAUACCUGCUUGUACGACACAGAAUAAGCUGUAUUUCAUUACAAAAUAUCCACAUAGAAUAAGCUGCUUCAACAAGCAAAUACAGACAUUUUUAUAUUACUUGGAGUUGGAGAUGCUGGGAGACAUUUUCAGUCAUCAGCUGAAAAUCUGAUAGCUCCAGGAAAAGGAAAGUUCCAAAGCAUAUUCUGGGAUUCAAAAAUGGACUGAAAUACAGUAAUAACUGCACAAAAUUUAAACCUGUCUUUUAAAAUGUGUUUGAACUUCAAAGUAUCAGGGUCUCUGGUAGCAUGAAUUCCUGGUACUCAGACAGUACGUGACAGGCAAAAAUCUUUGCAGAAAUCUACUGAUUAAUCUCCGGUAUAGGUAAGUGUUGAAACUGGUAUUUGUUGUCUUUCUUUUUUAACUUGGAAGAUACAAAGUGGAAGUUUGCUCAUAGCACUUGGUUGGCUGCCCAGGACUUCCAAAGAAAUCCAUGGUUGGAAGGAUGGAAAGGGGAACCUGCCAUGAUUUCCAAGCUUUUCUUCCUGCUGGCUAAAAUAUGUUGCUACCUGCUUUGGAACUGAAAAACCACUCCACGCUGUGCAAAACCUCCAACAGAAAAUGUUUAGAAUAUGGUUAACUGUUUUAUGAUAGAACAUUUCUGGAGCCUGGAGAAGCCUCCAUGGUAACCUGACAGCAGCUUUCGGUACCUAAAGAGGGGCUACAAGAAAGAAGGGGACAGACUAUACAGGAGGGUCUGUGGUGACAGGACAAGGGGAAACAGUUUCAAACUAAA